AGAGUUUGAUCCUGGCUCAGGACGAACGCUGGCGGCGUGCUUAACACAUGCAAGUCGAACGGAAAGGCCCACCACUUUUUGGUGGUGGGUACUCGAGUGGCGAACGGGUGAGUAACACGUGGGUGAUCUGCCCCGCACUGUGGGAUAAGCCUGGGAAACUGGGUCUAAUACCACAUACGACCAUGGCGUAGGGUCAUGGUGGAAAGCUUUUGCGGUGUGGGAUGAGCCCGCGGCCUAUCAGCUUGUUGGUGGGGUAAUGGCCUACCAAGGCGGCGACGGGUAGCCGGCCUGAGAGGGUGGACGGCCACAUUGGGACUGAGACACGGCCCAGACUCCUACGGGAGGCAGCAGUGGGGAAUAUUGCACAAUGGGCGCAAGCCUGAUGCAGCGACGCCGCGUGGGGGAUGAAGGCCUUCGGGUUGUAAACUCCUUUCGCCCGGGACGAAGCCCACCUGGUGGGUGACGGUACCGUGGAGAAGAAGCACCGGCUAACUACGUGCCAGCAGCCGCGGUAAUACGUAGGGUGCAAGCGUUGUCCGGAUUUACUGGGCGUAAAGAGCUCGUAGGUGGUGUGUCGCGUCGUCUGUGAAAUUCCGGGGCUUAACUCCGGGCGUGCAGGCGAUACGGGCACGACUAGAGUGCUGUAGGGGUAACUGGAAUUCCUGGUGUAGCGGUGAAAUGCGCAGAUAUCAGGAGGAACACCGAUGGCGAAGGCAGGUUACUGGGCAGUUACUGACGCUGAGGAGCGAAAGCAUGGGGAGCGAACAGGAUUAGAUACCCUGGUAGUCCAUGCUGUAAACGGUGGGCGCUAGGUGUGGGCUGUGUGUUUGCAGUCUGUGCCGUAGCUAACGCAUUAAGCGCCCCGCCUGGGGAGUACGGCCGCAAGGCUAAAACUCAAAGGAAUUGACGGGGGC
rnacentral:rRNA from 1 species